ensembl:lncRNA
CAGCAUUGACAGGGGGCUGACGUCUGAGCUCCAGAUAUCACUCGUAAAGCUAAUGAAAGAAGAAGUGUUCGAUUUUUAAAGGUGUCAAAUACUUCAGUAGCUACUACAGUAACUGAAUGGGCUUCUGAUCCAGUUUCUCUUUGUGUUGGACUCCUACAUCCAGAUCCUCCUCACGUCAGGAGAAGACACAGUAUGGAGAGAUAUGAACAAAACAGUAAGUCUUCAUGUUUGAGAGUGUGAUUAAUUGAAUGUUUUAAAAACUUUCAAGGGAUUUAAAAGCUGGCAA